ACGCCUCCGGUGCGCGCUGCGCGCGUUUGGUAGCGCGUGCUCUCGGGUGAGGCGGCGGCGCCACGUGGGAGCUGCCGGUGUGAAGUGCGGAGCGACAAACGCACCCAAUUGAAUGGAGAAGCAAGUGGACAAGAAGUUCCUGUGCCACAACACAGAUAAUAUUUAUUACUCUCAGCUUCAGAGACCUGGAGAACCAUUUCAGCCCUGCCUUUAAGCAGCCUCUGCCUAUACACUUUUUCCAGGGGAAACACAGGUUGCCAGUAAAAUGCCAGAUCAAACCACAGGCUGUACGUACACUCUGCAGCUUUCAAGCCCAGUUCUGUGUUAGCUCACCCCUGCAAUAUUGUGCUGCACAUGCAACUUUGACUUGCACUGUCUGUUGCAGUGUGUGUUUGGCUUUGGUGAGGACAGCGUGUGUUUGUCAGCAGUUAGUGCAGGGUGGAAUCUUCAGGAGAAAAUGCAGUUUUCCAUUCUAGAAGUCGUUGAUGGUGAUGUGUUGUUGUGGAAGAUUUCAUGGAGGUUUUUGGUGUUGGAGUAUUAUUGCAGAAUGAGUGGAUUUGUGAGGUUUGUCUAUGAGAUGCAGUAAAGAGAGCAGUUUAGAGAGGAAGGACUGGAGAUUUGGGCAGUUUGUAGGUAGGUUUUGGAUGGUUGUCAGCUUAAGAGUUGGAGGUUUACACGAUAAGUGUAGGGUAGAAGGUGAAGUUGGCCUGGGUGGUGCAAUUGGAUGGGUGUGGAAAGCUGAUGAGAAAUGGGCUUCUGCAAGUGACCCCAAAACCUGAAGAUUCAUCUGGCAGCUCUCGACAUUUCUCCCUGCCUGGCAGGGCUGGGAGGGCCAUGCAUGGCUAGUGCAGUGAGGCAGGGCAAGCUUGAACCUCUGUAAAAAACAACAGUUAAGGACCAUGGAAAUUUGUAUUCAGUUAUGACAUCUAUAACAUUAAAUUGGGGUUCAGCCUGAGAAUGGCAGGUGGGGAAACUACUCCAGCAGAUGGGCAGACCCAAGGCAAGGUGCCCUUGGUGUGGGCAAGUGUCAGCCCCCAGGCUCAGCCCCCAGGCUCAGCCCCCAGGCUCAGCCCCCAGGCUCAGCCCCCAUCUGAAUGCAGGGUCUUGGGGUUGGUGUAGUUCAGUCCUCUGUGUGUCUCUUGCAGUAGAAUAUCUCGCAAAGGAGAAAACAAGAAAGAAGAGGGAAGUAAAGGGCCUGCAAGUCAAGAGUAAGGAGGAAGACAGGCAUCCCAAGCUGGGGAGGAGGGGAAUGUCACCCUAGGCACAUGGAAGGAUGAAGGGAAAGAAGAUCCUGCCUGAGUGAGUGCCUGGCUAAUGCUGGUCUCACAGGAGUCUUGAUGUGGUGUGUUUCAGCAAGUGCCAGGGGUGACUGGCAAACAAAGUCUUCGUGAGGGACAUGCGGGGAAGCUCUGCUGCUGUGGAGGGGCUGAGUUUUGGGGAAGGCCUGUGUGGGAGGCAAGGGCCAAAGCAAGGUGGCCUUGCUGUGGGGUGUGGGGAGGUGUCAGCUCCUGGACUGAGCCCCUAUAUGACUGUAUGGGCCUCAGGUUGGUGUAGCUCAGUGCAUCGUGGGUCUCCCCUGGGGUAGAGCAGCUUGCAAAGGAGAAAGCAAGAAAGAAGAGGAAGAUGGUGAACCUACAAGUAAGAGCGAUCAAGAAAGAGGAUUGGAGUGCACCUGCAAGUCAA